UAAAAAUGAGUUAGUUCAAUUCCUUAUCAAACUAUAAAGUUUAUUAAUAAUUUUUUCAACCUUAUUUUUAGGAACUCUGAAAGAUAACUUAGUAGGAGAGUCAUUAAUAGCCGAUUAUUUAUUAUAUUGGUUGAACAAACAUCAAAAUUUCAGGUAUGUUGAAUAUCUGCAAUUAAAAGAACCAGUUGAUAAUAUAUCUUUGCUGCUUGUUGAGAUAGCAAUGAAAAUGAAUAAAGUACUUAAUAUACGAAAUGCUGAAGGAUCAAUAGUUCAAGUCCCAGAUAUUCAAGCAUGUUCCAAUUAUUUUAUAAAAGCAUUUCGUAAUGGACAUUUUGGAAAAAUAUUAUUAGAUUUUGACUAUUUGAAUAAAUCUGUAUGAUUCUUGCAUUGAGCUGUUCUUUUUUUAGGUGUCUAGUCAUAAAAAAGUCUAAAAUUAACUUACAUUAAGGUUCAUGAGAAGAUGUUUAGUUCUUACAGUUUAUGCAUGCUGUGUUCAUUAUGUUAAUCUGUUAUGAAGCAAGUAGUAUAUAUUCAGAAAUAUUCCAAAAAUUAUCAAAUGUGUGAUAUUAGGAAUAUACAGAUGCUGUGAAAGCCAUGAUUAUACAGAAGUACAAGGUAGAACAGUCUGAUUAAUCCCUUGGAAUCAUUCAAAAGAAAUCUGCUAUAUUACUUAUACAAUAUUUGAAAAUUAUGAAGAUAAUAUCGAUAACAAAGUGGUCAAAGUUGUAAAUAAUAUUGUUGUUAAACAUGCAAAACACUUGCAACUAUUAAAACCUAUUGUUGCUCUGGAAUGAUCCCAAAUUUUAUUUUACAAUAAAAAAUUUUUAUGUUUACCAAA